GACACAGAGAGAGACAGAGACAGAGAAGAGCAGAUAGAUGAGGAGCUUCAGGGGAGUCUUUAGCUAGGUUUCACAAUCUGACCACUUAAUUCUACCAGCAGAGGCUUAAACACUAAAAAGAAGGCAAGCCGGCAGAAAGGAUGGUAGUUGUGAAAGGCGCAGAGGAGAGAAAGCGAUAGGAAGUGCAGUCCUGUGGAGGGAUGUUUGCAGGUGACCCGAUUUACCAGCCAGUGCAGCUGAGAAAGACAGCCAGGGACACAAAGGAGGAGAAGAAAGGUAAUCCAGACCCAGGUUCUAACGGGGAGGGAGAAUGGAGAGAAUUAAAAAAAAAAAAAGAGAGAGAGAGAGAGACGC
rnacentral:lncRNA from 1 species